UACAGAGGUCUCAAGCGUUGUUCGGAUUCAUUGGGCGUAAAGGGUGCGUAGGCGGUUUGGUAAGUUGAAGGUGAAAUCUCGGAGCUUAACUCCGAAACUGCCUUCAAUACUGCCAGACUCGAGGACUGUAGAGGAGAAUGGAAUUCACGGUGUAGCAGUGAAAUGCGUAGAUAUCGUGAGGAAGACCAGUGGCGAAGGCGAUUCUCUGGGCAGUUCCUGACGCUGAGGCACGAAGGCUAGGGGAGCAAACGGG
rnacentral:rRNA from 1 species